UCCUCUAGAUGUUGUGCUCAUUGGUCUGCAUACAUCGGUAUGUACAAGUUCCAACAAGUCUAAUGCUCUCUCAGGAAAACCUGUGAAAGGUGGCUUGGAUAUUCAAUAAACAUAAUAUACAAAUUAUGGAUACAAUCAGAUAUCAUCAUCUCUAUGAUUGCUUCUAGGGCAUACCUCCAACAAGGUCCGAGUAGUUUCCAUAUGCACACUUAACUAGUCCGAGUGGGAUACGCCUAUUGCUGCAUAGCCCCUUUGUCUUGAUCAUGUCCGAGUACGUCCCUUAGUGGGCCAUUCAGGGCCUACU
rnacentral:lncRNA from 1 species